CUCAGUUUUUAUCAAAGCCGUGAAGUUUUAAAAAUCUUUUUUUCUGACUUAACCAGGAGGAAGACCUGGUAGAGCAGGUGAGCGCCGACACCAGCCCCUGCCAAUCCCAGGAAUCUUUGGAUGAGAGCAGAGUCCCCCAGUGUAACACCAGUGAGGAGACUCCAGAUUUCCCUGAAGACAACAUCUGUCAGGAGGAAGACCUGAUAGUGGAGGUGAGCGCCGACACCAGCCCCUGCCACUACCAGGCAUCUACAGAUGAGAGCGGAGUCCCUCAGGAUAACACCAGUGAGGAGACUCCCAAAAUCCCUGAUGACAACAUCUGUCAGG